rnacentral:rRNA from 1 species
AAUAUUGGACAAUGGGGGCAACCCUGAUCCAGCCAUGCCGCGUGUGUGAAGAAGGUCUUCGGAUUGUAAAGCACUUUAAGUUGGGAGGAAGGGCUUUAGGUUAAUACCAUGUGGUUUUGAGGUUACCAACAGAAUAAGGACCGCUUAACUCUGUGCCAGCAGACGCGGUAAUACAGAGGGUGAAAGCGUUAAUCGGAAUUACUGGGCGUAAAGCGCGCGUAGGUGGUUCAGUAAGAUGGGUGUGAAAUCCCCGGGCUCAACCUGGGAACUGCUUUCAUAACUGCUGAGCUAGAGUACGGUAGAGGGUAGUGGAAUUUCCUGUGUAGCGGUGAAAUGCGUAGAUAUAGGAAGGAACACCAGUGGCGAAGGCGACUACCUGGACUGAUACUGACACUGAGGUGCGAAAGCGUGGGGAGCAAACA